rnacentral:misc_RNA from 1 species
AAGUCGUAACAAGGUCUCCGUAGGUGAACCUGCGGAGGGAUCAUUACUGAGUGAGGGCCUUCGGGCUCGACCUCCAACCCUUUGUGAACACAACUUGUUGCUUCGGGGGCGACCCUGCCGUUCCGACGGCGAGCGCCCCCGGAGGCCCUCCAACACUGCAUCUUUGCGUCGGAGUUUAAGUAAAUUUAAACAAAACUUUCAACAACGGAUCUCUUGGUUCUG